UACAGAGGGUGCAAGCGUUGUUCGGAAUUAUUGGGCGUAAAGCGCGUGUAGGCGGCUUUGCAAGUCGGGUGUGAAAGCCCUCAGCUCAACCUGAGGAAGUGCGCCCGAAACUGGCGGGCUUGAAUCCGGGAGAGGGAUGCGGAAUUCCAGGUGUAGCGGGUGAAAUGCGUAGAUAUCUGGAGGAACACCGGUGGCGAAGGCGGCAUCCUGGGACCGGCAUUGACGCUGAGGCGCGAAAGCUAGGGGAGCAAACGGGG
rnacentral:rRNA from 1 species